ACCCCGGUAUUAUUGCUGUUAUGGGUUUGAAUCGAGCUUAGCCUUGUUCAUUUUUUUACACAACACCCCCGUAAAAAAUACAAUACGCCCCGCUCAAGCCUGCGGGCGGCAAGGUUUUUAAAAGGGCAAAGACGCCCUGAAAAGCGUCAAAAAUGGCCUUUAAGCCCUUUUUCAGGGCAA
rfam:Pseudomonas sp. Lz4W Contig15, whole genome shotgun sequence.